UCACUUACGUGGAAGGGGUCCAUGGGCAAUCAAGAAGACCUGUGGCCUAGGUCAACGACCUCUAUUGCACGCAGGUGGUGCUAUGGCCAAAGGUGUGCUCAUCGUAGCAGUGCCUACAUCAUAAUCUGUGGUAGCGGGAGCUUGCCUCUGCGCAGCCCCUUC